UACGUAGGGUGCGAGCGUUAAUCGGAAUUACUGGGCGUAAAGCGUGCGCAGGCGGUUUUGUAAGCCAGAUGUGAAAGCCCCGGGCUUAACCUGGGAAUGGCAUUUGGGACUGCAAGGCUUGAGUGCGGCAGAGGAGACUGGAAUUCCUGGUGUAGCAGUGAAAUGCGUAGAGAUGUGGAGGAACACCGAUGGCGAAGGCAGCCCCCUGGGUCAAGAUUGACGCUCAUGCACGAAAGCGUGGGGAGCAAACAGG
rnacentral:rRNA from 1 species